GCCGUCGUGGCCAAGUCCGGUUAAGGCACCUCGCUGAUAACGAGGAGAUGCGCUGGUUCGAUUCCAGCCGACGGCA
rnacentral:tRNA from 1 species